AACGGGUGAGUAAUGCGUGACCAACCUGCCCCAUGCUCCAGAAUAGCUCUUGGAAACGGGUGGUAAUGCUGGAUGCUCCAACUUGACGCAUGUCUUGUUGGGAAAGUGUUUAGUGGCAUGGGAUGGGGUCGCGUCCUAUCAGCUUGUAGGCGGGGUAAUGGCCCACCUAGGCUUCGACGGGUAGCCGGCCUGAGAGGGCGGACGGCCACAUUGGGACUGAGAUACGGCCCAGACUCCUCGGGAGGCAGCAGGG
rnacentral:rRNA from 1 species